AUCUUUUGUCUUAAUGGAGAGUGAUGGGUUGGAAGAGUUCCAAGCAAAGCACCAUAGUACAAUCUCAACGGAUGCAAAUGUUGUUGAUCCAUUGACCAAGCCUCUUCCAUGGCCUAAGUAUGAGAGUCAUACUGCAGCCAUGGGUAUUAAGUAUCUUAAGAUGUGAUCUUGAUUUUAGUGGGAGGCUUUAUGUUUAUGAUAUGAUGUUCAUAUUGACAUACAUUUGAUUAUGUAUUCAAACAAAUGAAAUUGUUUCAGAUUUAUUUGAUUAUUGGAUAAUUAAAUAAAUGUCCCAAAAUAAUUUAUAUCAUUCUUAUAGGUCAUCAAGUAUGUGACUUGAUCAUGAAACUCUAUAAGUGAAAGAUGCUAUAAACUAUUGAGGUCCCUAGUAUAUGAGAUUAAUAAUCAUGAGUGACUAGUAUGUGAGGUGAUUGAUGACUAAGUUUCAUGUAGUCAUUCAGUAUGUGGUAUUGAAGUCAAUCACAUGGAUAUGUGUUAGAAAACACAUGAUCGGACUGACCCGCUAUGAGAACUCUACAACAUUGCUAUAUGAGUGUCAUAAGAGUUUCUCAUUACGACUAUAGAGUAUAGUCCUUAGACCUGAGUUCGUCAUGAUUCUUUACUUGUGGAUUAGUUCACUUUGACCUUGUCAAACGUCAGUCGUAACUGGUGAUUAUAAAUGCAUUGAUUAGGUGUUCUAUGAAGUUUGUAAGGAACAAGGAUGAAACAAUAUGGGAUUUGUCCCUCCCAUAUAACGAGAGAUAAAUAUCUCUGGGCCUAUCGAAGAUUUAAUACUGUGAAAUGCAUGGCCAUGCUCAAACGAGGUGAAUGUCAGUCAUUUGUUUCAUCAGUAUAAAUCAGAGUUCGAUAAACGUGAUCUAGCUUAAUAAGGAUGACACUAGUUCUUGUCUUAUGCUGAAAUCGAGAUAUAAAGACAAAGGGAUUAUGAGAAUAAAUGAUUCAUGUACAAGUGGGAGAUUGUUGGGAAUGUCCUGAAAUCUAUUGUACUUACUCUAGUUAGAGUCGUAACGUCGAUGUUCGACAGUCGUAUAAUAUUAGGUGGUUAUAAUGUUUUGCUAGAAACCGCUUAUAAUUUAUGAAUUGAAAAUUCAUUACUAAUACUAUAUGAUCCUACAGGGUCACACACCUAAGCAAAUUGGAUCAUAAAUAUUUAGAAUUUUAUAUGUUUGUUUAUAUUAUAUAUAUGAUAUAUAAUAUACACGUGGUAUACAUAUAUGCAUGUGAUGUGAAAGGUCGUGAGUUAAGAUGUGAUAAUUAUCACUUGGGCUUAGCCCAUUAACUUCCUAAAUGUGUUUAGGUUAUGUAAUUAUAAAAGGUCACGUAAGUGACUUGAUGAUAUAUAUGCAAAAAACGGCCGACUAAAUAAAACCCUAAGGAGAUAAAGGAGUUUAUCAAGUUCUGAGAUUCGAUCUCGACGGCACUAGCAUCCCGUGCUGAUCCAGUUUGUGUGCGUGUGGAUACCGGUAGAGGCACAACGUUUGGAGUGCUUGAAAUCUCGACUUGGUUUAUUCAUUUUUCCGCUGCGAAUAACCAGGUAUAUUCAAAACUGUAAGAUCUAGAUUUUUUUCAUUAUUGACAUGAAAUUCUAGACAAACUAAAUUCAUAGGUUGAUUUAUAAAUUGUUAUAAACUGGUAUGAUUUCCAACACUAUAUUCCUCGAACAAGGUUCAUCAAGUAAACAGAACUUGGCCCAAUUAACUAGAAGGCAGUCAAAGAGAUGAUUUAAAGAGGAAAAGGAAAGAGUCUAGCUAUAAAAACAGAGGACCUAGAUGAAAAGAAGGGGAUUCACAAAUAUACAGAAGUCGGCAUAAAAACUAAGGGACAUCUUUAUCGUUCUUGCCAAAUUCAUCACCUCUUUACUAUUUCAUCGUUUUUUUCCUUGUAAUCACUUUAGAUAUUCAAUAUGCAUCUUUUAAAUAACUCACCAUCGGAUCUGUGCAUUCAUUUCGUACAUGCCGAUUAAACAAUAAAAACUUUGAUGAAUGAAUAUAUGGGGUAAAAUAUUAGAUGUACUCUAAGAGAGUAGAGAGAGAGAGAAAAAGGAGGAGAGAUGAGGGAUAACAUAUAGUAGCCAUUGAGCAUUGACUAAAGUGAAGAAAUAAGAAGAAAAAUUGUUUGAUUUCUUUUACUUUAUUUUAUGCUUUUAUGCUAGUUGCAACAGAACAUCUAUAUAUAUAUAUAUAUAUAUACUGUUUCUUUUCUUUUGGGCGCGUCACGUCAGUACCAGGUCAGAAAGUCGACUGAUGUGUUGUCGACACGUGUCAUGUUUCACAAAACGCAUCACUUCAUUUUAGAGAAAAUCUGAUGGGCCUCAAUCGUUAAGCGUAUAUAUAUGGAUAUGUGAUUUCUAAUGGGCUCAAAGAAAACAUUUUGGCCCAUUAAAAACUGUCUCUUUAGUCGCUUUUAAUUUUUCACAAGAUGGAGACGUCCUUCUCUAGGGUUCGUCGUAUCCUCCAAGCUCUGAUUAUUUCCCGCAACAAUGGUGUUUCUGAAUGUGAGUGAGACGAAUCGUCGUGAAGAAGCUCUAUGUCAAACUUUGAUUUCGUCGUUUCGUCUUUUCGUCUUUUAUUCUUAUCCUCCGAGACGUUACGAAAUGUCUUGAUUCAUUGCCUUUAAGAAACUCUUAAUUGCAUUGACGCACAUCAAGCACAAAGUCUUAUUCAAUGCUAUGUAUCCCUCUUCGAGACGGUGUUUCUACACCUAUAAAAAGGCAAGCCUUCUUGGCAAGCAUUCUUCCUUUGAAUAUCAUCCUCAUCAUUCGUGAUUACUCCAAAAAUUCAUUCUCAGUAUAUAAACAUUUGGUCUCUCUUUUCUCUCGGGACAAAAGCAUCAACUGCAUCAAGCAUGUUUGACUGCUUCAGCUUCUGUGUCCUCCUUCCCUCACGUAACUCCACCAAAUCCACUCUUUCUAAGGCUUGAUCUCCCUACCUCUCCGUCAUGAACCGUCAUCCUCUCUUCUUAAACACACCUAAAAUCUAACUCUCCGGCGGAUCCGCAGCGAAGAAGGCUAAGUCUGUAGCGGGAAUGUCUCUCCCGAGCUCAAAUAGCACCGCACAAUCGCUACAGAGAUGAUUAACAACCUUCAAUGUCCAUUGAUUAACAACCUUCAAUUUCCAUAUUAUGCUUAGAUAGAGACGAUUCCAGUUCCUCGACACAAAUGUGGCCAAGUAUUUGGUGGCCCAGGAUCGUUCUCCAGUUAAGUUCAGAGUGUUGGAUAUGGUUUGAUGUCGUACUCUUCUGGGACACACCAGAAAGCUGAGUGAGAAGUUCCAUCUUAUUGGUUACAUAUAUUCUGUAAAGUAUAUUUUUUUAUACUUUACAAUUAUGCAUCUUUAUGGAAUUUUGUAGAUUGUCAUUAAGUGUUUAGUCUUUAUUGUAACCAAUCUUUAAAGCUUCAUUUUUGGAGGACUUUAAGUCUGAACGUUCUAUAAGGUUUCAAUAAUUUUCAUGUUUCAAGGAUUUAGUAAAGAUACUGACUUUGUAACUUUAUCAUGUGAUGUUUAUUCUCUGGACAAAACGCCUAAGAGGAACCAGAUUGUCAGUGCAUCUCAACAAGAUGAGCCUCAGCUAGAAAAGAAAAGUGAUUGAAAAGGAAAAGACAAAGCCAAAAGGUCGAUGUCCAUACAUGAAAGGUGUCAAAGUUACAGUUAUGUUUCCGAAUGGAGCUUCCAUUUCUAUCUACUCUUGAGCUCAAGGAUGGUGGAUCAGAUUACCUUGGGAAGGAUGUCUCUAAAGGAUCCAACUCAGCAGACUCCUAUCGACAACUUCAUGGAACCCAAAACGAGUGGGGAUGGUGCAACCAAAAGGUGAUUCAAGGGUAAUUCAUGUUUUAGUAUUUACUCAAUAGUGGGAAACUAGAUUUUUGAUCUGCGCUUUGAAAGCGGGAUUUGUCUAUUUUGUAAACCUUUUAUUUUAUAACUUAUAAAUUUAUAUUAUACCAUGGUAUAUAAAUCAUUAUUACUAUUUUAAAUGAGUAUAAAAAGAAAUAUAUAAUGUGUUUGUGUAUAUUGUAUGUGUAAAACUUGAAAGUGUGAGAUUUUCUAUUUAUUGUAUUGAAUUGAUUCUAUUUAUUAUAUUAGUCAUUAUUUAGGAAUAUUCUCUUAUCGAGUUAAAGUGUUUUAGGAAAUAUUAAUUAAUUAUAUUAAACAAAAAUUUAUGAGAGGCAUGUCAUUGUAAAUAUCUAACAAAACUAAGGUCAAUAUCAUACGAGAGAUUCUACUAUAAUAGUAUAGAUGAUUAUAACCAUCUGCUUUCUUCUUUUUGUGUACACCUUAGACCCAAUGUAAUUUUAUUUUACUUACUUUUAUAAUAAAUGUAUAAUAAACAUUGAGAACGUAAAAUAAUUACAUUAAUGGAAAAAAUAAAAAUUUCUUAUUAAUUUAUCAAACCUUUGAUUGUAAUAAGAACAACAAAAACAAAUAGUAAAGAUUAACAUUAUUUUUCAGUAUAGAAUCAAUUAAUAUUUUAUACAUGUAUUAGGGC